AAUACUGGGUAAAUCUGGGCACUUCCUUGGCUACAAACUGGUCACCAAGGAAGGCCUAGACCAAACUACCACAGUGUCGUUGAGGGAAGCCUGGAAGCCCUGUAGACUGAUCAGUGUUUGUAGACUCCCAGUAAUAAGGGACAAGUUACUGUAUUUAAAGGGUGACUAAGAUGGAGACUGCCUUUUUACAAGGAGCCACAGGGAAAACAUGAGGAGUACAUGUAAAAGUUACUACUGGUCAUCUUGCAAAAGGGAGUCUCAAAGCCUGGGAAGGGUUCCACUGCAGAUGGUCAGUGUAUAAGGCCAGGGAGAAUUGUUCCUUAGCCAGGGAGAAGGCUUCAGAUUUUACAGUGAGAUUGGGAUUCAUGAACAUCCAAGUGUAGCUCACACUCCUCUCCAGCUCCAGGACUGUGGCGGCGGGAAAUGAGAUGCACCCUUUGGUUGCAGAACUGCCGUGAAUAUGGAUUUUCUCAACAUAUCAGAUAAAACUGAUAGCUUCUUGCUUCAACUUUCUUACGUUUGAGCAAAAAAGCCUAAAAAUCCUGUUGUUUGGCACUGCUGGAUAAUGCUUUGAACCCUUUUUUUACACGAUCUAAGAAAAAAGUAUGGAAGCUCCCAGGCAGUUUCAACACUGUGAAACACCAUCUUGAGAGAGGUCAGCACAGGAGGUGUGCCUGGAGGACAGUCCCUUACAGCUGCCCCUGGAGAAGCCUCGAUGGGUAGCAAAGCAGAUGGCUCAGCUCUGUCAAAGAAAGUCUCCUAAAAACACCAGAUUAUUGAGGCAAUGAGGUUCUGGCUUGCUAACUACAUCUGAUACGCUGAUGGGCAUGGCUCUCUUUCAGCCCUGCCCUUUCUGCAAGACAAAAUAGAAUUUUAAUCCUCCCAAGAAAAUUUUAUAGUGGAAGAUUGUGAAAAUGAGGACAGCAACACAGAUGGAUGUUUGCUAAUAACUGUUUGGAUUUGGCAAUGUAGGAGGGCUUUUCUAGCUUUACAGUCCCUUAGUAUUUGUAAAAUUACUUUAUAUAAAAAGAAAAAAAAAACAACGCCCUGUGGGUGGUAUGCAGGGGUUGU